ensembl:processed_transcript predicted gene, 20319
AAACACUGGACCUGGGCAGAUAUCAACUCUCUAAGAGUUGGGGAAGAGCUACAAGGUCACUGAGGUAAUGUAAAAGUUCCUGCCCUCAGCAAUGACAGGGAAUAUGGAGAAUGGCUAUAAGAAGGACAGUCUUGAAAGGUUUAUGCCCUUAGAGGACAAUACAAGGGAUGAGUAGGAGAGACCCUGCUUGUCAUUGCUAGACCACCUGGGACUCUUCUUCACUGGCAUGGCCACCUGCAGCUGCUUCCAGAACCUGCCCUGAGGAUACUUGGAUUUCUCCCCUUUCCAUUUAAUGACCGUGAGCACCGUCUUAGCCCGCUUCAGCUCUUUCACCUUCAUGUCCUUCACAGCUUUGUACUGCACUAAAAUGACGUUGAUGUUGCCCCGGGAGGCCAUAUUUUCUAGGCCAGCCUUGAGCUCCAGGAGGGCUUGUGUUCCCUGGAGCACGUAGUUGGGACUUAGGACAACCAGGAGUCGUCUGCUUUUCUGAAUGAAGCUCAGGGUCUCAUCUGUGACAACUGGGAAAGAAAACACCAUGGGGAUUAGUGUUGGCCAAGAACUACCUGACACAAAGAGGUGAAGGAUGGAAGAUAGGGAACUUGGAAGGACAGCCUGGGAAUCAAGGCUGAAACAGGUUUAUCAGCAACACUCCUAGUGACUUCCUCUUUAAUCUAACCACACUGUCCCUGGAAUGUCACUCUGAGGAGGAAAAAAAAUGGAGUCAUAUAUAAAUGCCCAACUCUCCAAACGUUUCCAAAUAACUAAAACUAAAAUAAUG